GAUCAUUAUACCUGGAAUGGUUUAUGGUCCAAAUGAAUUUCGCCAUAGGGUGGGACUGCGGUCUAUCAGCUUGUUGGUGAGGUAAUGGCCCACCAAGGCUAUAACAGAUACGGGCUCUGAGAGGAGAGGCCCGGAGAUGGGUACUGAGACACGGACCCAGGCCCUAUGGGGCGCAGCAGGCGAGAAAACUUUGCAAUGUGCGAAAGCACGACAAGGUUAAUCCGAGUGGUUCCUGCUAAAGGAAUCUUUUGUCAGUCGUAACAGCACUGAUGAAUAAGGGGUGGGCAAGUUCUGGUGUCAGCCGCCGCGGUAAAACCAGCACCUCAAGUGGUCAGGAGGAUUAUUGGGCCUAAAGCAUCCGUAGCCGGCUCUGUAAGUUUUCGGUUAAAUCUAUAUGCUCAACAUAUGGGCUGCCGGGAAUACUGCAUAGCUAGGGAGUGGGAGAGGUAGACGGUACUCCGUAGGAGGGGGUAAAAUCCUUUGAUCUAUGGAUGACCACCUGUGGCGAAGGCGGUCUACCAGAACACGUCCGACGGUGAGGGAUGAAAGCUGGGGGAGCAAACCGGAUUAGAUACCC
rnacentral:rRNA from 1 species